GUCUAUGGCCAUGCUACCCUGAACAAGCCCGAUCCCAUCUGAUCUCGGAAGCUAAGCAAGAUUGGGCCUGGUUAGUACUUACAUGGGAGACCACCUAAGAAGACCAGGUGGUGUAGGUG
rnacentral:rRNA from 1 species